GAGGAAGAUGAGAUAAUCUCAUUAACAAGGACUUAUGUUUUAGUAAACGAUCAGCAGACUUUAACAACGCCAAUUACAACGUCACGGGUCACUAUCACAAGUACAAGUAUUAAAGCCAGCAUAAUAAACGCCAUUAAUGAAAGUAGUCCAAAGGGUCUGACAAGCACCGGCUUGAUAGUUAUUGUUGUUGUUCUCAGUAGCUUGGGAGGUUUACUAUCGAUUAUCAUCAUCGUCGCUUUCGUCUGUGUAAAAUUGAAAAGCUAAAGGAAAUCCACAUCAGGUUAGUAGGAAAUCCUUGGUGUUGUAGAGUCUACCGGGUACGUAAUGUGUCAAAAUGUCUAUUGAGA